rnacentral:rRNA from 1 species
CGGGACGCAGCAGUGGGGAAUUUUGGACAAUGGGCGCAAGCCUGAUCCAGCAAUGCCGCGUGCAGGAUGAAGGCCUUCGGGUUGUAAACUGCUUUUGUACGGAACGAAACGGCUCCUAUUAAUACUGGGGGCUAAUGACGGUACCGUAAGAAUAAGCACCGGCUAACUACGUGCCAGCAGCCGCGGUAAUACGUAGGGUGCGAGCGUUAAUCGGAAUUACUGGGCGUAAAGCGUGCGCAGGCGGUUAUAUAAGACAGAUGUGAAAUCCCCGGGCUCAACCUGGGACCUGCAUUUGUGACUGUAUAGCUAGAGUACGGUAGAGGGGGAUGGAAUUCCGCGUGUAGCAGUGAAAUGCGUAGAUAUGCGGAGGAACACCGAUGGCGAAGGCAAUCCCCUGGACCUGUACUGACGCUCAUGCACGAAAGCGUGGGGAGCAAACAGGAUUAGAUACCCUGGU